rnacentral:rRNA from 1 species
AGUUUGAUCCUGGCUCAGAUCGAACGCUGGCGGCAGGCCUAACACAUGCAAGUCGAACGGUAACAGAAAGCAGCUUGCUGCUUUGCUGACGAGUGGCGGACGGGUGAGUAAUGUCUGGGAAACUGCCUGAUGGAGGGGGAUAACUACUGGAAACGGUAGCUAAUACCGCAUAACGUCGCAAGACCAAAGAGGGGGACCUUCGGGCCUCUUGCCAUCGGAUGUGCCCAGAUGGGAUUAGCUAGUAGGUGGGGUAACGGCUCACCUAGGCGACGAUCCCUAGCUGGUCUGAGAGGAUGACCAGCCACACUGGAACUGAGACACGGUCCAGACUCCUACGGGAGGCAGCAGUGGGGAAUAUUGCACAAUGGGCGCAAGCCUGAUGCAGCCAUGCCGCGUGUAUGAAGAAGGCCUUCGGGUUGUAAAGUUCUUUC